rnacentral:rRNA from 1 species
UACGGGGGGUGCAAGCGUUGUUCGGAAUUACUGGGCGUAAAGGGCUCGUAGGUGGCCAACUAAGUCAGACGUGAAAUCCCUCGGCUUAACCGGGGAACUGCGUCUGAUACUGGAUGGCUUGAGUUUGGGAGAGGGACGCGGAAUUCCAGGUGUAGCGGUGAAAUGCGUAGAUAUCUGGAGGAACACCGGUGGCGAAGGCGGCAUCCUGGACCGAUAUUGACGCUGAUGCGCGAAAGCCAGGGGAGCAAACGGG